rnacentral:lncRNA from 1 species
UUUAUAUAGAAUAAAUUUCUAAAAUUAGGAAUAUGAUUUAGAUAUAUUCAAAUUAUAAAAAAGAUGCAUAAAUAAUGAGUAUUUUAGAUUAGAAUUAUAUUUUGAAUAUUAUAGAUAUAGUCUAUUAUAUUUUGAAUAUUAUAAUUAAAUAUAGUCUAUUUCUUGUAAUUUUGGAAGAGAGUUAUGAUAGAAUAAAAUUUGAGUUUGUAUUUUG